rnacentral:rRNA from 1 species
GACGAACGCUGGCGGCGUGCCUAACACAUGCAAGUCAGGGAUUGGAAGGUAGCAAUACUUUUCAAGACCGGCGCACGGGUGAGUAACACGUAGGUAAUCUGCCCUCGGGCGGGAACAACCUCGAGAAAUCGGGGCUAAUACCGCAUGAUGCAACGAGACCACAUGGUUUUUGUUGUUAAAGAUCCGCAAGGAUCACCGGAGGAUGAACCUGCGUCCGAUUAGCUAGUUGGUGGAGAAUAGCCCACCAAGGCGACGAUCGGUAGCCGACCUGAGAGGGUGAUCGGCCACACUGGAACUGAGACACGGUCCAGACUCCUACGGGAGCAGCAGUGAGGAAUAUUGGUCAAUGGCCGAAAGGCUGAACCAGACAACGCCGCGUGAGGGAUGAAGGUCUAAGGAUUAGUAAACCUCU